ACCCGCGGCACGGCAGCGCGGGCUCCGCCGGCGGCGCCGGCACUCGGAGAAUUACCUGUGCUUCAAAAUGAAAGUGAGGAAGAAGUAUCCCCRAAAGUAUUAAUCUGAACAAUAAUUAUUGCUUAUAACUAUUAAUUUCACUGACUGCUGGAAUAGUGGAAUUAUGUGUUAACCUYCAACCUCCAUGAUGCAGUUGUAUUUACAUCCCACUGUCACAGAGAGGAACUCUUGGAAGAAUACCAUCUGUUCCUGAUGACUUCUUAUAUGAAUAUUGUGGAUUUUUGAUUGUCUGAUCUGCUAACACUGUUGUUUGAGACAGACCAACGCUGCCUCUGAUAAAGAAGAUACC